GGAGUGAUGUCCGAGUUGGUCUAAGGAGCACGAUUGGAAAUCGUGUAUAGGUUAAUCCCUGUCUAGGGUUCGAAUCCCUAUCACUCCG
rnacentral:tRNA from 1 species